UACAGAGGGUGCGAGCGUUAAUCGGAAUUACUGGGCGUAAAGCGUGCGUAGACGGUUAUUUAAGUCGGAUGUGAAAUCCCCAGGCUUAACCUGGGAAUUGCAUCCGAUACUGGAUGGCCUGAAUCCGGGAGAGGGAUGCGGAAUUCCAGGUGUAGCGGUGAAAUGCGUAGAUAUCUGGAGGAACACCGGUGGCGAAGGCGGCAUCCUGGACCGGCAUUGACGCUGAGGAGCGAAAGCCAGGGGAGCAAACGGG
rnacentral:rRNA from 1 species